AAUGACUUUGGAAAGAGCUAUUGGACAAUAUUUAGUAAACUUGAAGGUACUUCUCAGACUCAACAAUUCUACCCAUAGGCAUUCCAUUAGAGACACUAUCACAUGUGAAAAGUUGGAGAAACUUACAAGAUGUUCAUUAAGGCAUUUUUGUAGUACUAAACAAUUGGAAACAACCUAAAUGUCCUUCAAUGGGCAAACGGAUAAAUAGAUUAUAGAAUAUUUCCCCAGUGGAAUACUGCACAGAAAUUAAAAUGAAUGGAUCGGCACUUCUGGUCUUACCUAUCUGCAUCAUCAUGCGUCACCUGGUAUCCCUAUGUCUAGUGUCUUCCCAUGUCUGUACAACUGUAAGACCUUUGAAAAUAGUAAUUAGAAAUUCUUCAGUGCACUUUUAAAAAGCAGUUUUAUUGAGGUAUAGUUGAUAUACAAUAAAUUAAAUAUAUUUAAAAGGUACAGUGUGAUAAGUUUUGACACAGUACAAAAUCACCAGAUCAAGGGAGUGAACAUAUCUGUCACUCCCAAAAGGUUUCCUGGUGUCCCUUUGUAGUCUCUCCCUCCAACCCCUCCCAUCCCCAAUUAACCACUGGUCGGCUUUCUGUCACUAUAGCUCAGUUUGCAUUUUCUACUUUUUUUAAAUGGGCUCAUUCAGUAUGUAUUCUUUUGUCUUGCUUUUACUCAGUAUAAUUAUUUUGCGAUUCAUCCAUGUUCUUUCAUUUUUACUGAGUAGGAUUCCAUUGUUUGGAUACUCCACAAUUUGUUCAUCAUUCACCUGUGGUAGACAACUGGGUCGUUUCCAGUUUUUGAUGAUUACAAAUAAAGCUGCUAUGAACAUUUGCCUAUGAGUCUUUGUGUGGGCAUGUGCUUUCUCUUCUUUUAGGUAAAUUUAUUGAAAUGGAAUGGCUGGAUUAAAUGGUAGGUAUAUGUUUAACUUUUAAAAAAACUGACAUAGUGGUUGCACCAUAUUACAUUUCCACUGGCAGGCUUCAGUGGGUUUUAAGAAUAAAAUCCGGGGCAAUUGUUAGGCAUUGGAAAAAGGGCCUUUACUGGUGUAAUGAAGGCUCUUGAGAUGAGAUCCUCCUAGAUGUAGAGUGGUCCUUAACCCAAUGACUGAUGUGCUUAUAAGAGAAAGGCAGAGGGAGACAGCGACAGACAGAGGAGAAGACAGGCAGAGACUGGAGGCAAGCUGCCAAUCAAGGAAUGUCUGAGGCUCGCAUAAGCUGGAAGAGACGCAGAAGGAUUCUCCCCAGAGCCUUCCGUGGGAACGGGGCCCUGCCGGCACCUUGAUUUUACCCUGCUGGCCUCUAAAACUGACACUCUGCUCAACGAGCCCAGUGUCUGACAGCAAGGACUCAAACAGAGCUCCAAGCAGCCCAAACUCCAAGCAUUCUGUGCCAUGGCCCUGGGGAAGCAACCACACCAUAUACCUCCAAGCUCAUUUCCUGCAAGAGGAUCCCGGUAAACAAGGUGCUCUGUUCCAUCCAAAGCUGGUAACACUCAUACUGAUCCUUUCUAGCUACAGCUCGUGAUUGCAUUUGGUAGCAGAAGCACUGCUCCAGGUCAGAAUGGCAGGAUGCUUUGGUGCUAGCAAAAGAAAACUCAGAUGGAUUCUUAAUAUGGUCCCUAAAUCAGAUGACCUGUGUCCUUGUAACAACAGAAGGUCAGAGGGAGGUGUGAGACAGUCCUAAGAGAAGACACCAAGAGGAGACAGCGAUGUGAAGAUGGAGGCAGCGAUGGGAUUGAUGCGGCUACAAGCCAAGGAGUGCCAUGGAUUGUCAGCAGCCCCGUGAAACUAGGAGAAAGCAUGGAAUGGAUUCUCAGAAGGAAGUGUGGCCCUGCUAAUACCAUUUCAGACUUCUGCCUCCAUAACUGUGAGAUAAUUAAUCUGUUGUUUUAAAUAAUCCAGUUUGGAGCAAUUUGUUACAGUAAUCCUAUUAAAACUAAUAGGAUUCUGAAAUGUUAUCUUCUCACGAAUGUUCAACGUGAAAGAUAAUGGACACCCAAACCUCAGUCCAAAGCUUGGAGGAAGUCUGCAUGGGAGCCCUACGCAGCUUCUCUGAGCUUGAUACUCUCUCAGAGUACUUCCCCAGGGACCCGCAGGCUUCUGACUCCUCCAGCAGAACUUUGACGCUUUCACGGUCCUGUAUAACCUUCCCCAGGUACUUGCUCAACAGAGCCCCAUAGCCCAGAUCUUAAGGAUGUUUAGCACUCUUUCUCACCUAUCCAUGUUCAAGGGUUCUAGGGCUCAGGAAAAUCCUAAAAUGUGGCUGAAAUCAUAAUGAGGAUGGAUAGAUUCUGGGAGCCUAAGGCUGUCUUUGUAGCACUGAGCUUAUACUACCGAGUGUCAUCACUAUUAAGAACUAGGUAACUACAUGCUGAGUGGUUAAAUCUAGCAUAUAUCCCUUACAAGCCCUGCCUGGGCAAAUGGUGAGUGGGGUGAAACUGUGUGCUAAUCUCCUCCACAUCUCCUUCAAAAGCUCUCAUGCCCCUGAUUACUCAGGGCCUCUGGACUGGUCUGAUCUCUCUGCAGGACCCUUUCUACUGCUCCUCUCAUCCCACUCACCAAAUAAACCUAUUCCUUGUCUAUUACUCUAGGCUUUUCUCCACUGCUAAGGGACAAUUAUCAUUAAUGCAUUAAUUAGGUCAGCUCAAGAGUUUGACAAAUUUCUCAUUGUGGAAACCAGAUGGAGAAAGCUGGGUUGGCAGUGUACCUAUGGGCAGAUUCAUAGUUGGCCAAAGGUCCUCAUGGGAAAAUAAAAAUCCCUAGCCUUCUGAAAAAAGGUUUCCUGCCCUUGGUCCAAUCCUGGUCAAUAUUUUAAUCAGUGAUUUAAAUAAAGUCAGAGACAAGCUUAUUUAAUUUCCAAAUAACCCAGCUCUAUGAGCGAUGUAGAAAACAUGUUUGUUCACAUAUUUAAUAUUUUUAAAGAUAUGAAAUGAUGGGCCACAAUGAAAAAAACAUGAACUGAUGGGCCAGAAUCAA